rnacentral:lncRNA from 10 species
AUUUUCCCUUUAUCCCAAUUACUUUAUUCUUUUUAAAGAACAUAUGUCAGGUUGUAAAUUAGAUGAAAUUAGAUAAUGAAAACUAUAUAAAGAGCUUCUUUGUGUUUGAGCAUUUGGGGGUCCUCUUAUCUAGUUCAGUGGGAUAACUAGUUUUUGGAAUUUUCUUUUUACAGACAUGACAGCCUUGAGCACACAGAUGCUUGCUUGCUGUGGAGUUGGGAGAGAGCUGGCUUCUCUUGGGCAUGCUUCAUAUCCUGCUUUGAUGGCCCUUCCUCUCAAAAGCUUGCCUCGUUGUGACUUUCUCCAUGAGCUUAGCAGCAUCUCUGGAGGGCUCCUCAGCACUGUCUCCUGUUGCAUCAAGAGAAUAGAAGUGGAGAGUGGGGCAAAGUACUUCACCCUAGUGUGAUUCAGAAUCUUCUUGGGCUCAAGAGAAUGCCACUGCCUCUACCUCCAAUCCUCAACAUCUUGCCGGAGAUUUUGAUUCAUCUUUCUACAGCUUACAAUAGGUAUGUCCUUUCUUUUCAUUUUGAUAAUCAUAGCACUCUAGGAUGGCCACAAAUAA